GGGGUUGUGGCUCAGUGGUAGAGUGCUUGCCUAGCAUACAUGAGGCACUGGGUUUGAUCCUCAGCACCACA
rnacentral:tRNA from 1 species